ACCUGGCUGGCUCAGUUGGUAGAGCGUGUGACUCUUAAUCUCAAGGUUGUGAGUUCGAGCCCCACACUGGGUA